AUCUAAAACAUGUAUGCCAGCCCAUCAUUCAAUCGAAGUUAAAAGCUAUCUUGUUUCAUCAAUUAAUGAGAGAUUAAAUUUUCGUGACAUGUAAUAAUAUAAAUUGUUUAACACUAAUAUGGUCUUUAAGAUAAUCACAUCCCUGUUUUAUAACAGCUCAGUGAAAUCGAGAGAUAUGUUUAAUAAUAAUAAUAAAUUGAAGGAAAUUCCAAUGAAGCGAUUAAUGGUAAAAUUUAUUCUCAUUGAAAUCACAAAAUUUUAUUUCUUGAAAGCAGAAAAAUAUGUGAAUGAUCUGCAUGAUAUUUCUUUACAUCAAGUAUAGGAUUGUCAGUAUAAAAAAAAACUACAUACCGAAUGAAGUAAUCUGUGCUCUUCCUGCGGUAAACUACUUUCAACUGACGUUACACCAACAGUGUUCGGAUCUGUUAUUGUUCUUGGACAAUAAAGGACGAUACUAAGUCAUUUCAAAACUAACGGUUUGACAAACGUGUUAUUAAUCUGUGGUGGGGAGCUGGUGCAAAAAUAAACCUUAAUACAUUACA